CAGCAGCCACGGUAAAACGAAGGGGGCUAGCGUUGCUCGGAAUGACUGGGCGUAAAGGGCGCGUAGGCGGAUUGCGCAGUCAGAUGUGAAAUUCCUGGGCUUAACCUGGGGGCUGCAUUUGAGACGCGUAGUCUAGAGUGUGAAAGAGGGUCGUGGAAUUCCCAGUGUAGAGGUGAAAUUCGUAGAUAUUGGGAAGAACACCGGUGGCGAAGGCGGCGACCUGGUUCAUGACUGACGCUGAGGCGCGAAAGCGUGGGGAGCAAACAGGAUUAGAUACCCCGGUAGUCCCUGUCUCUUAUAC
rnacentral:rRNA from 1 species